AAAUAAAAAAAUAAUGAUGUUGCUAAAUAAAAAUUAAAAGAAGAAAAAGAAGUAGAAAGUUAUAUAUUGAGGUGUUGAGAGCAUAUGGGGGGUGUAGAUGGAAAAAUAGUAGAGAUGAGAAUAAUGGAGAAUAAAUAUAAUUUUAAUUCUCAUCAAACCAAUUUAUUUGCAAUAAUACCAUGAUCCUUUGGCAUUAUUUUAGAGGAGAAUGAAUAGACAACAUUUUGAAUGCAUAGAACAAAACAAACACAAAACAAAAAUAGUGCUAGUGAGUGAGAGAAGAGAAAGAGCUCAUGGGAGAGUGAAGAGAAGCAAAGGAAGGAAAAGUUUAACCUCAAUUUAGGGAGUUCACUACAAUCCAAAUUUUCAGGUAGGAGAUGAAUCAUAGCUGAUGUGUUCGGAUAGCUGUUGCUUUGCUAUUUAAUUGGAGUCGCUCUGUUAGGAUGUUGUUGGGGAGAAACUUUAUUUAAUUAUGCUGCUAAAUUUUUAUAACAAUUGGACUAUGUCAUUUGAUUCAGUAUUUUCAAUUCGGACUUUGAAACUUAUAUUAUUUUUGUAUUUUCCGCUGCAUGAUUUUUAAUCAUUUGAAGAAUUAGUUAA